rnacentral:rRNA from 1 species
AUUGAACGCUGGCGGCGCGCUUUACACAUGCAAGUCGCACGAGAAAGGGCUUCGGCCCGAGUAAAGUGGCGGACGGGUGAGUAAUGCAUGGAUAACCUGCCUUCGAGUGGGGGAUAACCCCGGGAAACCGGGGCUAAUACCGCAUGACAAGUCGCGAGCUUCGGCUUGCGCCUUCAAAGCUGGCCUCUGCUUGCACGCUGGCGCUUGAAGAGGGGUCCAUGUCCCAUUAGCUAGUUGGUGAGGUAACGGCUCACCAAGGCGGCGAUGGGUAGCCGAGCUGAGAGGGUGAUCGGCCACACUGGGACUGAGACACGGCCCAGACUCCUACGGGAGGCAGCAGUGGGGAAUUUUGCGCAAUGGGGGAAACCCUGACGCAGCGACGCCGCGUGGAGGAUGAAGGCCCUUGGGUCGUAAACUCCUGUCAGGUGGGAAGAAAAGCCUUCGGUAAACAGCCGAGGGUCUUGACUGUACCACCGGAGGAAGCCCCGGCUAACUCCGUGCCAGCCGCCGCGGUAACAC